UAACAUGAGAGUUUGAUCCUGGCUCAGGAUGAACGCUGGCGGCGUGCUUAACACAUGCAAGUCGAACGAAGCACUUUAUUUGAUUUCCUUCGGGACUGAUUAUUUUGUGACUGAGUGGCGGACG
rnacentral:rRNA from 1 species